GUCCCGCUAGCUCAAUUGGAUAGAGCAGUUCCGUCCUAAGGAAAAGGUUGUAGGUUCGACUCCUACGCGGGAUACCA
rnacentral:tRNA from 1 species